GACGAACCGUGCAAACGUUGUUCGGAAUCACUGGGCUUAAAGGGCGCGUAGGCGGCUUGCCAAGUCGGGGGUGAAAUACUUCAGCUUAACUGGAGAAGUGCCUUCGAUACUGGCGAGCUCGAGGGAGGUAGGGGUAUGUGGAACUUCUGGUGGAGCGGUGAAAUGCGUUGAUAUCAGAAGGAACGCCGGUGGCGAAAGCGACGUACUGGACCUCUUCUGACGCUGAGGCGCGAAAGCUAGGGGAGCAAACGGG
rnacentral:rRNA from 2 species